AGUCUUGUUAAAAUGUGGAUUCUGAUUCUAGAGUGGGGCCUCAAAUUCUGCUUCAGUUGGUGAUCUUGUUAAAAUGCCGUUUCCGAUUAUGGGGUGGAGCCUCAGAUUCUGCACUUCUACUCUUAGGGAAACCCAAGCCUCAGGGGGCCUGCAGUAAAGAGAAAUAAAGCAUGACAUAGUCUGAAAAGCACUGGUUCUAGAAUCAAACAAACUUGGGUUGGAAUUCCAACUCUGCAACUGAUUUGCAAUCUGUGUGGUCACAGGCAGAGUCUUGCUGAAGUGCCAUAGGAG